CUUCAUCCAUUUGAAAUCAAAAGUGUUGAAGACGUGGAACUGAGAAAUAGAGCCAGCAGAAUGAUCUUCCUCAUUGACUGGUGGUGAGGAGCACAGUGAGAAUUUUCUCUUUUGAAAUGGGAGAGGCUGCAGCAGCUGAGGGAAAUUAAGCAGAGUGGCCAAGAUGCCAGCCUGUGCUGAUGUCAGGCCGUGUCCCCUGACAGGAUAGGGAUGUGCCUUCAGACAUUUUGGAGAACAUGGCCACCACUCUCUCAAAUAACACCACAAUAUACAACCUUGUUCACCAGGAUCUUGUCACACUGGGGAAGUUUCUGAAUAUGCAUAGAGGAAAAUAAAUCUGUGGAAAACAAGUCAUCAAAGAAGCUGCAGCAACUUGCCGUGACAUAUUUUCUACUAUCAACUGUGUCCAGUCUUGGGGUCCGGGCUACCGUAAGAAAACAACUGGAAACUCACAUUUUAAAAAAUAACAAAUUAUACAGCAACCAUAUUUUGGCAUUAAAAUCAGAGGCAUUUCUAAGAACUGCAUGCUCAGUGAGGACAAGGGCGAUGCUUUGCUGAGCAUCUCGUGGAGGGGCAGACCCAUCUUGACUUUAGACCAUCUGUUGAAUGUCUAUAAUGUUUUUGUGUAAGUAUACAUUCUAGAUCACUUGAUAAUAAUUUUAUAUUUCAUAUUGGGUA
rnacentral:lncRNA from 1 species